GAAUAAAGUAUUUGUGAGUGAAUAAACAAACCAUUUACCUAAAAGUUCAGCUCAUUCUCCCACGACCUCAAACGGCAUAGCACGGAGGUAUUCUCUCCCACGACCUUAAAUGGCACACCACAGAGGUAAUUGGCUAAUGCAAAGAGAUAAAAAAGCUGCACUCAUUCGUUGGGGGCAAUUACUACAUCAACAAACAUCUCAAGGUGUGUGAGCACAAAAGGUGAUAAGUUAACAGGCCUAAAAAGUCAUGAUUGUCAUGUCCUUCUACAGCGACUUCUUCCCAUUGGAAUGCGUGGAUAUCUUCAUAAUGAUAUUUGUGUCACAUUAUAUGAGUUGGGAAAUUUCUUCCAAGAGCUUUGCUCAAAGACAUUGAAGGUGAAGGAUUUGGAAAAAUUAGAAGAUAUGCAAGCUGGAGAAAAUUUUUCUACCAGCAUUUUUUGAUGCAAUGGUCCAUUUGACCAUUCUUUUGCAGCGCGAAGCCAUUCUUGGUGAGCCUGUGCAAUAUCGGUGGAUAUACUCCAUUGAAAGGCUACUUGGAACAUUAAAAAGAAGUCACAAAUCAAGCUCGUCCAGAAGGUUCGAUCGCAGAAGCUUAUGUUGUCAAGGAGUGUCUCACAUUUUGCUUAAUGUAUCUGGUGGGAUUGAAACUGUAUUUAAUCGAGAGGAAUGAAAUGUCAAUGUUGGUGUGCAUGAGUUGGGGUUAAAGGUCUUCACGCAAAAUGUUCGUCCUUUUGGGCUAAUUACAAGGGCUUCUGACGUGUCUUAAAAAGAACGUGAAAUGGCUCAUUGGUUCGUCUUGAAUAAUAGCCUCAAGUUGGACCAUUAUCUAGAGUAACACAAGAAUCUUUUAGAAAAUCAAGGUGCACGUGACAUCACAAAGAGACAGAAAGAGAAAUUUUCCAAGUGGUUCAAAGAACAUAUGAACCAAUUAUGAGCUCAAGGAUUACCAGAAGCAACUGAUGAUUUGCGGUCAUUAGCAAAUGGUCCUAGUGUGAAUGUUAAUUUGUAUUCAGAUUGCAUUUUCAAUGGUGUUCGAUUUCAUAGUAAAGAUCGUGAUAGUAGUCAUAAAUGCCAAAAUAGUGGGUUAGUUGUGGAAAGGGAGCAUGAAGGACAAACAAUUGACUUUUAUGGGUACUUGAAUACAUCGAGUUAUUUUAUUCCAAUGUGAAUGGUUCAACACCGGUAGCAAUAGAUCAUUACAUAUUGAUACACAUUGCACAAGUAUUGAUGUUAGAAGUCGAUGGUAUAAAGAUGAUCCAUUUGUCUUACCAAGUCGUGUGAAACAAGUUUUCUACAUUGAUGAUACAAAGUUAGGUGGACAUUGGAAAGUCGUAGAAAGACUACAACAUCGAGGAAUAUGGGAUGUAUCAGAACAAGAUGUCAUUGAACCUAAUGAUGUAUUCCAACAGAAUGAAACAAUUGAUGUUGUCCUAGUCAACGUUGAAGACCCCGUCACAAUCUCACUUCAUAGGAAUGACAUUGAUCCUCAAAUUAUCCCAAGUGAGGUGGUUUUAUAAUCAGUUAGUCAAGCACACAACGAUGGUGUUGAUGAUAAAGAAGGGCGCAAUAAUGAAGAUGAUUACUAUGAGCAUUGACUAUCUGAAAAGAUGAGCUACAUAAUCAUUUUGAUUCUAAUAUAGAUUUUGACAUAGAACUUUAAUUGUUGUGUCACUUUUAUGUUUUUAUGACACUGUUGUUUAAAUGCCUUUGAGUUUGAGUACAAUGACUAUUUAAAAAGAUUUUUGUUUUUUUUUUUUUUGUAUAUGUGUGUUUAUGUGUGUCCCUGUCUCUCUUUCUCUAUAUAUAUAUUUUUUUUUUAGUUUUUUAUGUCAUUUUAUUUUUUAGUUAUCACUUAUGUUCUGAUAUUAAUUCUAUUAUACAUCCAUUGAUAUUAAUGUAAUUGCUUAUUUUACAUAUGUUUCACACAUAUAAUUGUUGAGUUAUUAUGCUAGAUGGCAGGCCCUGGUAAAGCUCGAAGUACAACAUCAUCCAAAGUUCCUCUACCUACCCAACAAGUUGCAGCCAGAGAUGCUACCCCUACUCAGCAUACACUAGCUAAUUUAACCCCAUCUACUCAGAGUGAACCAUCUACAAAUGCUCUAAGCAUCCAGCCUGCACCAUCUACAAAUGCAACUACUAUCUAGGCUACACCACUUACAAAUGCAACUACUACCCAGGAUGCACCAUCUACAACUGGGUUGUGUACUCGUUCUAGACAAGUAAGGGGUCAAACUGGAGGGAAAAGCAUAGCACGUCUCAUAGCUAAUAAUGGUGGUGAAAAACUUUCUGUUUGGAUCCCUGUAGAUGCAAAUGUGCCAGUAGGGCCUUAUGCCACUCCAUUUGCAAAUUAACUUGGCUUACAGAUAAGGAUGGCUGCACCAAUCAUUGAUAUAAAAAAGUGGGACAAGAUUGAUGAGAUUCAUAAAGCCCCAAUCAUUC